rnacentral:rRNA from 1 species
UACGGGGGGGGGCAAGCGUUGUUCGGAAUUACUGGGCGUAAAGGGCGCGUAGGCGGCCUACUAAGUCGAACGUGAAAUCCCCGGGCUCAACCCGGGAACUGCGUCCGAUACUGGAAGGCUUGAAUCCGGGAGAGGGAUGUGGAAUUCCAGGUGUAGCGGUGAAAUGCGUAGAUAUCUGGAGGAACACCGGUGGCGAAGGCGACAUCCUGGACCGGUAUUGACGCUGAGGCGCGAAAGCCAGGGGAGCAAAGCGGG